rnacentral:rRNA from 1 species
GUGGGGAAUCUUAGACAAUGGGGGAAACCCUGAUCUAGCCAUGCCGCGUGAGCGAUGAAGGCCUUAGGGUUGUAAAGCUCUUUCAGCUGGGAAGAUAAUGACGGUACCAGCAGAAGAAGCCCCGGCUAACUCCGUGCCAGCAGCCGCGGUAAUACGGAGGGGGCUAGCGUUGUUCGGAAUUACUGGGCGUAAAGCGCGCGUAGGCGGACCAGAAAGUUGGAGGUGAAAUCCCAGGGCUCAACCUUGGAACUGCCUUCAAAACUCCUGGUCUGGAGUUCGAGAGAGGUGAGUGGAAUUCCGAGUGUAGAGGUGAAAUUCGUAGAUAUUCGGAGGAACACCAGUGGCGAAGGCGGCUCACUGGCUCGAUACUGACGCUGAGGUGCGAAAGCGUGGGGAGCAAAUAGGAUUAGAAACCCCUGUAGUCC